rnacentral:rRNA from 1 species
UACAUGUGGGGCAAGCGUUGUUCGGAAUUACUGGGCAUAAAGGGUGCGUAGGCGGUUUGUUAAGUCACUGGUGAAAGUUUUCGGCCCAACCGGAAAAUUGCCUGUGAUACUGGCGAACUUGAGUGCGUGAGGGGUGGGGGGAACGAGCAGUGUAGCGGUGAAAUGCGUAGAUAUCUGGAGGAACACCGGUGGCGAAGGCGGCCUGCUGGGCAGUAGCUGACACUGAGGCGCGACAGCGUGGGGAGCAAACAGG